rnacentral:rRNA from 1 species
GUGGGGAAUAUUGGGCAAUGGGCGAAAGCCUGACCCAGCAACGCCGCGUGAGGGAAGAAGGCCUUCGGGUUGUAAACCUCUGUCCUUGGUGACGAAGAAAGUGACGGUAGCCAAGGAGGAAGCCCCGGCUAACUACGUGCCAGCAGCCGCGGUAAUACGUAGGGGGCGAGCGUUGUCCGGAAUUACUGGGCGUAAAGGGUGCGUAGGUGGCCUUUUAAGUUGGAUGUGAAAUACCCGGGCUUAACUUGGGGGGUGCAUCUAAUACUGGGAGGCUAGAGUGCAGGAGAGGGAAGCGGAAUUCCUAGUGUAGCGGUGAAAUGCGUAGAUAUUAGGAGGAACACCAGUGGCGAAGGCGGCUUUCUGGACUGUAACUGACACUGAGGCACGAAAGCGUGGGGAGCAAACAGGAUUAGAAACCCGGGUAGUCC